GCGACAAAAGAUCUGCUAAAACAUGAAUGAAAAAUACAUAACCAAUUCUACAAUAACUACCUAUAUUGUGAGCUAGGGUUGGCUGUAGAAAUGACUAGAGAUGGCCAAUUUGAUUGGAAAAAGUAUGAGAAUUCAAAUUAUAGAUUGGGGAUUCGAAUGGCGACAAAAGAUCUGCUAAAACAUGAAUGAAAAAUAUAGAACCGAUUCAACAAUACCUAUCUAUACUGUUAGCUAGGGUUGGCUGUAGAAAUGGGUACAGAAGGCCAAUUUGAUUGGAAAAAGUAUGAGAAUUCAAAUUGGGUAGGAGAUAUGAGGCCACCGGAACCACUAGGGUUGGCUGUAGAAAUUGCUAGAAGUGUCCAAUUGAUUGGAAAAAGUAUGAGAAUUCAAAUUACAGAUUGCGGAUUCGAAUGGCGACAAAAGAUCUGCUAACACAUGAAUGAAAAAUACAGAACCAAUUCUACAAUAACUACCUAUACUGUGAGCUAGGGUUGGCUACAUAAAAGUCUAGGAGUGUCCAAUUUGAUUGGAAAAAAGUAUGAGAAUUCAAAUUACAGAUUAGGGACUCGAAUGGCGAGAAAAGAUCUGCUAAAACAUGAAUAAAAAAAAUUGAAUCGAUUCAACAAUACCCGUCUGUACAGUGAGCUGUGGUUGGCUAGAGCAAAGGCUAGAACUGGACAAUUUGAUUCAAAAGAAUAUGAGAAUUCGAAUGGACACAACAGAUCUGCCAAAACUUGAAUCAAAAAAAUAAACUAAUUCAACAGUACAUGUUUGUACAGUGAGCUAGGGUUGGCCAAAGCAAAGGCUAAAACUGGCUAAUUUGAGUGGAAAAAGUAUCAGAAUUCAAGUUAGAGAUUGAGGAUUCGAAUGGACAAAAGAUCUGCUAAAAAAGAAAUCAAAAAAAAUGAACCGACUCAACAAUAAAUAUGUGUACCGUGAGCUAUGGUUGGCUACAUAAAAGGCUAGAAGUGGUCUUUUUGAUUCAAAAAAGUAUGAGAAUUCAAAUUAGAAAUUGAGGAUUCGUAUGGACACAAAAGAUCUGCUAAAAAAUGAAUAAAAAAAAACUAAACCGAUUCAAUAAUAAAUGUCUGUACCAUGAGCUAGGGUUGGCUACAUAAAAAGCUAGGAGUGUCCAAUUUGAUUGAAAAAAGUGUGAGAAUUUAAAUUAGAGAUUGAGGAUUGAAUGGACACAAUAGAUCUGCCGAAACAUGAAUCAAUAAAACUAAACCGAUUCAACAAUACAUGUAUAUACCUUGAGCUAGGGUUGGAUACGUAAAAGGCUAGGAGUGUCCAAUUUGAUUGGAAAAAGUAUGAGAAUUCAAAUUAGAGAUUCAGGAUUCGGAUGGACAUAAAAUAUCUAUCAAAACUUGAGUCAAAAAAAUUGAACCG
rnacentral:lncRNA from 1 species